AUUGAACGCUGGCGGCAUGCCUUACACAUGCAAGUCGAACGGCAGCACGGGAGUAAUCCUGGUGGCGAGUGGCGAACGGGUGAGUAAUACAUCGGAACGUGCCCAGUAGUGGGGGAGUAGCCCGGCGAAAGCCGGAUUAAUACGCAUACGACCUACGGGUGAAAGCGGGGAGUCGCAAGACCUCGCGCUAUCGGAGCGGCCGAUGUCAGAUUAGGUUGUUGGUGGGGUAAAGGACCUACCAAGCCGACGAUCUGUAGCUGGUCUGAGAGGA
rnacentral:rRNA from 1 species